rnacentral:rRNA from 1 species
UACGUAGGUUGCGAGCGUUAAUCGGAAUUACUGGGCGUAAAGCGUGCGCAGGCGGUUAUGCAAGACAGGUGUGAAAUCCCCGAGCUCAACUUGGGAACUGCACUUGUGACUGCAUAGCUAGAGUACGGUAGAGGGGAGUGGAAUUCCGCGUGUAGCAGUGAAAUGCGUAGAUAUGCGGAGGAACACCGAUGGCGAAGGCAGCUCCCUGGACCUGUACUGACGCUCAUGCACGAAAGCGUGGGGAGCAAACAGG